UAAGCAGUUAAAGGUAUUGACUGGUGCAGUGUACCACCCGCUCGCUAAUCCCGCUCGCCAUCGUGCCGAAGAUAGUCGAAUAGAUAUAUACGGUGAACAGCGGAAACGGCCGAGCAAGCCAAGCGAGAUGGCGGCUCCUCGGUCUAUACCUAACACGCGCUAUCAGACCUUCCACCUCGCUCUCCCCUCCCCCUCCCGCCCACACGAGUACUGGCUCCGAGCGGCGUCGUUCGUCGGAAUCCGACCAAUAAACGUGCGCCCGCGCCAGUGAUAGUGCAGCAGUGGUGUCGCCUCCACUUGGCGUAGUCACGUCACAACUUGUUCGGCUAUCGAACUGCGUGUUUUCAAUUCGUUUUCGGAGUCGAGUGACGUACGUACGGCGAGUUUAGAAAUUUUGCGUGCGCGUGUCGUCGUCGGCUACAUUUAAUACGCGCGCGCGCGCACAUACGCAUACACGGUACAAUUGUCUCUCGCGAAUGAUAUCUCUCUUUUUCUUCCCUUACGUGUAUGGUAUAUAAUCGCGUGUGCUGACUUGCGCGCGCGCGCGCGUGUUUCCCGGUGUGAAAUAAGUGACCGUUCCGGGAGUAAAAAGAGAUAGAGGAGAACGAUGGCAGGAGCCGUGCAAUUUUCGUGGAUAUUCGCGGUCGCAGUACUUCUGGUUUUGACCGUAGGAGUGAAGUGCAAGAGAAAAUUCGACGGGGACUUCGAGUUUGCCGAAGAGUGAGGAAAAUAUUGGCGCCAGGAGAGAAGGAAUGGGCUAAGAGACGAACUGGAAGCGGGCGUAAUCAGGAUGACACUGCUAGAUAGUAAAAUAUUGGCCAGGCUGGCGGACGCCAAUAAACGAAUUUUUCAUCGAACGUUUUCGCUUUGAUGGCAACUGACGACAAUAAAGCGACACUACUACUAUCGCUUCGGUUUACAUUAGGUCUCCACAUUUUGCUUCCUCUUUUUUCUUCUCUCUCUCUCUCUCCAUCUUUUUCUUUUCUUUUUUCUAGUUCUUUUUCCCCACUCGGUCAAGUCUUCAAAUUUUUUUCUCUUGUUCGCAUUCCAUAUUUCUUAAUUGCUAUCUGAAUCCCAGCGAAUCUGAUCGAUGAUACGUGUUUCAGUUUUUCUUUGCUAUUAUUAUUCUAUAUCAGUGUAUUUUUCUAUUGCUUCUUUUAAGAGUGAUUUUAUUUUAAUGGAUUGAAUUUAAUAGAUGUGAGUAGAUAAAUGCGUUUUUUCGGUCUCUAUUUAGAAAAAAAUUAUUUUAAGAAUUUUUAAUUUUUUUGUAAACUAAUAAACACACAUCUUUUGAUCAUCAUACAUUUUAUUAUUUGCUCGUUAAGUAGGCCUUAUUAUACCCUUUUUAUUAUGUUUUGCAAUACACGAGCUAAGAAAAUAUCUCCUAAUUUAUUAUUACGAUUUAGAUUACGCAGGCCUUAUAAUGCGUCGAAGUAAUUUUAACAAAGAAUACUACUCAUACAACUAUAAUUUUACUUUUGUAUUCCAAACGUGUAAUUUUUUUGUAAACUAAUAAACCACACAUCUUUUGAUCA